GGGUGGCGAGUGGCGCACGGGUGAGUAAUACAUCGGAACGUGUCCUGUUGUGGGGGAUAACUGCUCGAAAGGGUGGCUAAUACCGCAUGAGACCUGAGGGUGAAAGCGGGGGAUCGCAAGACCUCGCGCAAUUGGAGCGGCCGAUGCCCGAUUAGCUAGUUGGUGGGGUAAAGGCUCACCAAGGCGACGAUCGGUAGCUGGUCUGAGAGGACGACCAGCCACACUGGGACUGAGACACGGCCCAGACUCCUACGUNAGGCAGCAGUGGGGAAUUUUGGACAAUGGGGGCAACCCUGAUCCAGCCAUGCCGCGUGCAGGAUGAAGGCCUUCGGGUUGUAAACUGCUUUUGUCAGGGACGAAAAGGACCGUGUUAAUACCAUGGUCUGCUGACGGUACCUGAAGAAUAAGCACCGGCUAACUACGUG
rnacentral:rRNA from 1 species